rnacentral:rRNA from 1 species
CGGUUCCUGACCCGGAAUGAGAUUGAUUGCCGCGAAUGGCUCAUUAUAACAGCUAUAAUUUACUUGAUCUUGACACAAUCCUACUUGGAUAACUGUGGUAAUUCUAGAGCUAAUACAUGCAUUAAAGCUCUGACCUCACGGGAAGAGUGCAUUUAUUAGAACAAAACCAAGCGGCUUCGGCUGUUUCUGGUUGACUCAUAGUAACUGAGCUGAUCGCAUGGUCUUGCACCGGCGACGUGUCUUUCAAGUAUCUGCCGUAUCAACUUUCGAUGGUAGUGUAUCUGACUACCAUGGUGAUCACGCGUAACGGAGAAUAAGGGUUCGGCUCCGGAGAGUUCGCCUGAGAAAUCGCGAACACAUCUAAGGAAGGCAGCAGGCGCGAAAAUUACCCACUCUCAGCACGAGGAGGUAGUGACGAAAAAUAACGAGACCGUUCUCUUAUGAGGCCGGUCAUCGGAAUGGGUACAAUUUAAACCCUUUAACGAGUAUCUAUGAGAGGGCAAGUCUGGUGCCAGCAGCCGCGGUAAUUCCAGCUCUCAAAGUGCAUAGAAUUAUUGCUGCGGUUAAAAAGCUCGUAGUUGGAUCUGUGCCAUAGGACGUGGUCCACCUUCGGGUGCGUACUACGCUCCUAGGCUUUUUGCUGGUUUUCCCGUCGUAGCCUUCACUGGUUGCGGCGGGUGGCUGGCGAGUUUACUUUGAGAAAAUCAGAGUGCUCAAUACAGGCGUAUCGCUUGAAUGAUUGUGCAUGGAAUAAUAGAAAAGGAUUUCGGUCCUCUUUUAUUGGUUUUGUGGACUGAGAUAAUGGUUAACAGGGACAAACGGGGGCAUUCGUAUCUCUGCGUGAGAGGUGAAAUUCUUGGACCGUAGAGAGACGCCUACACAGAAA